rnacentral:misc_RNA from 1 species
UAGACCUUCACCCGAUCAUUUUUCAUUAAGUGAUUGUUUUCUGGUGCUUUGGACGUUCUGCCAUUAACCCUGGCUCGUCUUAAAUGUCUUAGUGGAACGAUGGCAUGAUAAGUCAUUUGCCUGACCCGUCCACUCUAAAACUCUAUAUUUCAAG